AUACGGAGGGUGCGAGCGUUAAUCGGAAUUACUGGGCGUAAAGCGUACGUAGGCGGUUGGUUAAGUUAGAUGAGAAAGCCCCGGGCUUAACCUGGGAACUGCAUUUAAAACUGGCGAACUAGAGUUGAGUAGAGGGGAGUGGAAUUUCAGGUGUAGCGGUGAAAUGCGUAGAGAUCUGAAGGAACACCAGUGGCGAAGGCGACUCCCUGGACUCGAACUGACGCUGAGGUACGAAAGCGUGGGUAGCAAACGGGAUUAGAUACCCUAGUAGUCC
rnacentral:rRNA from 1 species